rnacentral:rRNA from 1 species
UACGGGGGGGGCAAGCGUUGUUCGGAAUUACUGGGCGUAAAGGGCUCGUAGGCGGCCAACUAAGUCAGACGUGAAGUCCCUCGGCUUAACCGGGGAACUGCGUCUGAUACUGGAUGGCUUGAGUUUGGGAGAGGGAUGCGGAAUUCCAGGUGUAGCGGUGAAAUGCGUAGAUAUCUGGAGGAACACCGGUGGCGAAGGCGGCAUCCUGGACCAACACUGACGCUGAGGAGCGAAAGCCAGGGGAGCAAACGGG